rnacentral:tRNA from 1 species
GGGAAUGGAUGAAUCCCGGUGGGUUCCGCGGACUUCAAAUCCGUUGUCGGGUGGGUGAUCCGGCCGAGGUAGGUUCGACUCCUACACAUUCCCGCCA